UCCGUGAUCUGGUCGACCCAUCAAGCUGAACGAUGUACCCGGGGACGCUGUGUCAUGAAGACUAGCUGGUAGCUCCGGCAUCCAGCAUGCCCAAUAGCUUGGUCAAUGGACGCAAGUUGAACCAGCCAUGCCGCGUGCAGGAUGACAGCUUUCUGAGUUGUAAACUGCUUUUAUANUAGGAACAANGAUAGGCCAUGCGUGGCAAGUUGCGUGUCUAUAUGAAUAAGGCACCGGCUAACUCCGUGCCAGCAGCCGCGGAUACGGAGGGUGCAAGCGUUGUCCCGGAUUUAUUGGGUUUAAAAGGGUGCGUAGGUGGAUUUAAGUCAGUGGUGAAAGCCUGCAGCUCAACUGUAGAGGUGCCAUUGAAACUGGAGAACUUGAGUAUGGACGAGGUAGGCGGAAUUUGUGGUGUAGCGGUGAAAUUUGCAGGUAGUACCACAAAGAACACCGAUAGCGAAGGCAGCUUACUGGACCAUAACCUGACACUGAGGCACGAAGCGUGGGGAGCGAACAGGAUUAGAUACCCUGGUAGUCCACCCGUAAACGAUGCUCACUCGAUGUAUCGAUUUUUCUGUAUGCGUCCAAGCGAAAGCAGUUGAGUGAGCCACCUGGGGAGUACGGGCUCGCAAGAGUGAAACUCAAAGGAAUUGACGGGGUCCGCACAAGCGGUGGAGCAUGUGGUUUAAUUCGAUUGGUACGCGGGAACCUUCUGGGCUAAAUGCGACUGCAAUCUUUUGCCNNUGAAC
rnacentral:rRNA from 1 species